AGUGAGUCAAUAUGACUUAUUUAUUCCAGAGAAAAGAUGAAAAGAAAGCUUGUAAAUCAAAUAAUUAACAUAAACUUAACUUGCUAAUUCCUAACUUCCUAACCAAUAACCAUCUUCCAAAAAUAACAUCUAAUAUAUAUAAAUAGUACUGAUGUACUAGUACAGUGGUUCAACUGAUGAUUCAGUAACUAAACCAGACAUACAUGCUUAUAUUUAUAUAUAUGUAAACAUAUAACAAAAAAAUUCAAAUAGGUAGAUAUUCGAACUUAUAAUCCAUAUUCAUAAUCUACUCCAAAUAAACAAACAACCUUAAGACUUCAACAAAUUCAAAGGCUAAAGUGCAAAACAUAUAUCAAUCCAAAAGUAUCAUUUAACAAGCACAAAAUAUAAAUAAAUGACACAAGUUCACAACUUAGUCUACAAAACAUAUAAAUUUGGAGUUUUAACAUUUAACACCAAUGAGUCAAAGUUGUCUCAUGUCGAAGUUCCAUUUCUUCAUCAUUUGAGCUUGAACUUGACGCGCAUCGUCUUCAUCCAAGUUAACAUUCUCCAUGGAAAUGAUUUAUGCAUCAUUAUCAUCAUGUUCUAAGUUUAAUUGAUCUACAAAAAGAGUACAUAUUCAACAAAAUAAAUUCAGAAUGUUGUGAAACUCACAUAUUUGAUGACAUUAUUGUUGUGAAACUCACGUAAACCAUAUACCAAAUAUAUUUGGUGACAUUAUUGUUGUUGAAUCCAUGGUUCAUUUGGACAUAAAUUACUGUAAAAUAACACCCCAUCACCCAAAGUGAAACUCACAUGAAUUUAAAGGAGCCACGUAUUAAAACAGAUGCUAUAUUUGGAGUCAUUCAUUCCUCACCAAAUUUUACAAAUAAAAUAACAUUUAAGAUUGAAGGGAAUAAAAUGCUUGUUAAAAUUCAUUCCAACAUAGAGCUAUACUAGGUAAUCAUCAAUUGAUAAACAAUAGGCAAUAGAAACAAAUUUACAAGCACAAACUUCAGUUUAGAAGCACAAGUUUACAUAGAAAGAAAGAAAUUGCCUCAAGAAUUUACAUUACAACUUUUAAGAGCAUUGUAAACAACUUUAGUGAGAAACCAGAGUUAUUCUUUCCACAAUUGUUAAGAAUGACACUAUAUGAAAAACAAUUUUAGUAAGAAAGCUAUAAAGGGAUGCAACAUUGCAACAAGUUAAAAAAAACCCAAUUCAUUGAACAUAAGACUGCAAUUGGCUGAAAUUGCAAAAAUCAAACCCAAAUUCUUCAAAAGGGAUGCAACAGGUUUAAAAACCUCAAUUCAUUGAACAUACUAUGUAAAUGGAAAUUUAUAUGGAAGAAGAACUUGACAUGAGUUUUUAUCAACUUACCUUAGUAGAUGAGAGUAAAGACCGUGAAAGUGACAUGAAAGAAGAACUUUAAGAGUGAAGACCAUGAAUGGAGAUGAAAGUGAAGAAGUGAGAAUGGAAUUUAUGCAAUGAUGCUUGAAAAAUGACUUUAGGAGCUUCAUAUGAGGAUAUGGCAUUCACAAUGAAAUCAUUAUAGAAGAAGAAAAGUAGAUUAAUAGACACAUGCCAAUAAAGAAUAAAUUAAGAAGGGAGAUAAAAGUGGUGAAGAAGGGAGAAAGUGAGAAACAGUGAGUGGCGAGAAAGUGAGAAACCCUGAAACCCUUAAUUCAAUUUUUU
rnacentral:lncRNA from 1 species